AACGAACGCUGGCGGCGUGCCUAACACAUGCAAGUCGAGCGCGAAAAGGGCAACCUGAGUAGAGCGGCGCACGGGUGCGUAACACGUGGGUAAUCUGCCUUAGAGUCGAGGAUAACCUUCCGAAAGGUUGGCUAAUACUCGGUAAGCUUACGGUGUCUUCGGACGCUGUGGGAAAAGUAGGCCUCUGUUUACAAGCUUACGCUCUGAGAUGAGCCCGCGGCCCAUCAGCUAGUUGGCGGUGUAACGGACCACCAAGGCAACGACGGGUAGCUGGUCUGAGAGGACGAUCAGCCACACUGGAACUGAGACACGGUCCAGACUCCUACGGGAGGCAGCAGUGGGGAAUUUUCCACAAUGGGCGAAAGCCUGAGGGAGCAGCGCCGCGUGUGUGAUGAAGGUUUUCGGAUCGUAAAGCACUUUCGACCGGGACGAAAAACCUCUGGCUAACAUCCAGGGGCCUGACGGUACCGGGAGAAGAAGCACCGGCUAACUCUGUGCCAGCCGCCGCCGUAA
rnacentral:rRNA from 1 species